rnacentral:lncRNA from 1 species
GGAAGGGAUCGAGGGAGAGAGAGGUUCAGGUCGGGGCUAGGAUUAGAGGAGAGGAACUGGGCCUAUUGGUCAAGGAGGCUGCGAGAGGCCUUGGGACGAGAGGAGCAAAUGGCCCGGGAGGUGGGCUUCUGUUGCUGACCUCCUCACAUAACGUGGAAAAACAAAGAGAGAAAAGGGAGAAGAAAGAAAGGGGCUGGUCUGGAAAGCUGAAUUGUGCUUAGAGGCAAAUGGGUCGGCCUGGUUCUCUCUUCUCUCUUCUCUCUAAAAACAGAAAAAAGACAAAGAAGGAAAAAAGAGAAAGGAAGAAAAGAGUGGACCAAAAUUUGGGCAGCGGAUUAAUUUUCCCAGACUCGCAAAAAUGUGCACGGUCCAAGAAAAAUAGGAGGGGACAUGAUUGCAAGAAUUUAAUUCAAAGUCAUUUGAAUUUAAUUCAAAUGGUUUGAACAAGGACUUGGUUUUAGAAGUGUCCAAAAAAUGUUCGGAUUUAUGGUGGAGCUCUGGAAUAUGAUGAAAGAAUAUAUAGCAAAGUUGGAGACCAAGAAUUAAGAUAACAAAGGCAUUGGGAUAAUUUGCAGGUGUGGUAUGGUGAAUUCCAAAUUAAAGGAAUAUUUAAUAUAGCCUCUAAUGUUGGGAGGAUAUGUUAUGAAGAGAAUCACCAUGUGAAUUCCAUCGGUUUAAAUAGAUCAAAAGAUCUAUGCAAUUUAUUUAGUUGAGUUUAAAAAAUGAAAUGGCAUGAUGGCAUGAUGACAUGAUGCAAUGCACAUGAUGCAAAGAACCAAAAAAAUCACACGACGAAACUCAGAAAACAUGGAAGGCAUCUGGAGCUCCGGUCUCGGGGUGUUACAACACUCCACCACUACAAGAGGAUCUCGUCCCGACAUCUAGAAUGGCAUCGGAGGAAAAACGAAAGAGGAAUAGGAAAGGUAAAACUAAGUUGCUUCUUCGACAAAUGAGUGAAACCACGAACCUUGAGAUGUUAAACCAUUUCGAAAGAAAGAAUACAAUGGAGGUGAACGAGAUUGCAAACACUCCGUUAGCAAAGAAAUAAAAGAACAUGAAGAGAACCAAGAGCUUAGGGGACAAGAUAGAUUUUUAAGCCACGCCAGUUAAAACAAGAUAGAGAAGGGAUAAGAGUGAUAUAAUUUGGACAGCACUCUGACUGUAAAUGGAAGAAAUUGAACAUGAACUUGACAACAUGAGAGGAUACUUGAUGAAAUCAAAAACACACUGCCUCCGGAACUAUUGAAAGAAUGGCACAAUGGGUAAGAAAGAUUUCAGACAGCACUCCGGUUGAGAAGGGAGGCAAAACUUGACAGAAUGGGAAGAACUUGAAAAGAGGGCAUGACACUCCAGUUGAAAAAUGAAUAAGAACACGGUCCUCACAAUCUGAGAUGAUGAGUUAAAAGAGAACAUCACAAUGCCUCCGGAACGAAGGAAUAGAAGUUGGACCGUUGGAAAGAAAAGAAUUGAGAAGAGAAUGAUAUCUUCUACCACAAUUUCAUUUGAAGGCAUCCAUAGAAAGAAGGAUUGAAUGGAGUUGUUGGAAAAACCAACAACGAAAAGAGUAAGCAUGUUGUGGGCUUAUGGAAAACAUCUCCUUUUACCAAGAGAAUAGGAGGAAACUUGGAUUAUAAAUAAGCACCAUAAUUAGUAACAUUCCUUAGAGAAGGCUUUAAGUGAAAUCUAUACCGAGAUAACACCAACGAUGAAAUUAGGAUGGGUUUAGACAACUCAUGAUUGAAGAGAAGAUGAUGGUUUUGCAAUAUGUCAUUUCGAACAACUUGUGAAUCAUGAAACACGAAGGGGAAUUGUCAAGAAUGACAUAACACCACCUCAAAAGAUAAGGUAGAAAGAAUUGCACUUUGGAAUGCAAGAUGAAGAAUGCUUGAACUCCUGAAAACAAAACAUGUGUUGAACACCAUGUUUAAUUUAGAGUAUAGCUUGACGGAUCAUAACUUCAAGAGAAAUCUUGAAGAACAAUUGAAGAAUGAAAAGGAUCCUUGACUAACCACCAUGAAGAAACUCUCGAAGAACUCCGGAUAGAUAAAACAAGGUCGCAAGAAAAAGAAGAUUGAAAAGAAUAAGAUGAAUGCUUGCAUUGAUUAGAUGGAGCUUUGCAAUGACAUAAUCGAGAAAAAACUUGGCACUCCAGAAACAAAGAUGAGAAAUUGAAACCAAGAAUUUUUGAUGGACCUCCGUAAUAAAGAAUUAAACACUUGGAUGAAGCAAGAAUAAGAAUUAUGUUAUGCGCAUCCCUCACCAAUAUAAAUUGAUGACAAGAAACGGAUUUGGCAUACUUCUUGUUCUCGUAGAAAGGAUUAAGAUAGAUAUAGCGCAAACUUGAGGAAGGUCUUCAACGAUCCACCGAUAGGCUUGGAAAGAACGAAUGAAUUGAUAUGAUAACGAAGGAAGAGAACUCUUGAACGAACCACCGUAAGAAUUGAAAAUGAAAGUGGCAAAAGCACAAUUCACCAGGAAGAAUUGGAAAAUGGACGAAUAUACUUAAGAGAAUCAAGAUGCAAGAGAACAAAGAGAUCAUGGACUGUUUAAAGAAUGCUUGAAUGAUGCACCGGUAAGAUUGGAGAACGGGAGUUGAAAGCUGAGAAUGAAUAAACCUGAAAUGAUGGCCUUCGGAGAAUCAAACUGAAAAGUCUUCUGAAUUGAUCCGGAUGGGUGAAAAGAAUUGUCACAAUCAAAACCAAUUAUGAGGAGAUGGCAUGAAGCUAGUACCAUGAAUCUUCGAGAGAACGGACCAAGAUUUAGAGGAAACACUUCUUCGGCCUUCAAAAUCCGAGAAAGACGAUGAGAAACACCAUCAAGAAUUGUUGAGACACUCCGAAAUGAUUAAAAAAGGAAAGGUUGAGGCAAAGGUGAAAAGAAUUUGAAAGAUCUUGGAGAAAGACAUAUGACUGAUGAUAAUUCAUUUUUACGUCAACUUGGAGAAUAAUUUGAGAGUAAGUCCGGCAAAAUUAGAAGAGUCGGGUAAGAUCCUGGGAAAAGACCUGUGGGUUAGGGCCCACUCAAAAGAUACAUCGUUGAAAUGGUUUGAAGAGAGAUUGCACUAGUUGAAUUAAAUGGCUUAGAAGAGAUAACAACCUCAAGAUAGCUUGAACGGUUUAGGAAUGAAAACACAAAUCUCCUGAGAUAUCUUCGGUACUCUAGAACAAAUGAAUGGCGAGAAGUGGAUGAUUAAAAGGUGCACCGGCAUGAGAAGACAUUUGAAAUGAGGAAAGGAUAUGAUCGACAAAGCUUGACUUGAAUCCACCGAGAAGAAAAGAAUGAAGAAUGAUAGACUUGAGGCUCCGUUAGUGUCUUCCUGAGAAUCACCGGAUAAGAACAUUGACGAAAAAAAUGGAGAGACUCGCCACCAAUAAAAAGUAUACUUGAAUAAGAAAUCCGAUUCCUUGAAGAAAAAAGGGUGGGAGGGAGGGAAAACAAAGGCAACUUGGGGCGGAUGGAACAAACACCAUUGAGAAAAAGCUUAGAAUUGAUCUUGUGAAUGUUGGAAUGAUCGGAUGCACUUGAAGAGAAACACGCCGGUUGAAAAGGAUUGACAUGACAAUGUCAAUUAUCAUGAAGGAUUAGUAUUCACAUAGAAGUGUGAGAACACCACUUAGGGAAGGUAUGGAAUCAACACUUGACAUUGAAGCAACUCAAAUACCACAAAUCAAAACAAAACGAACGAUUGGCUUGCAGAAUAAGCCAGAAACAAACAUACGAUAGAUCCCAUAUCGUAUCAUGUGUCUGUUGGAAAGAAUUCCUACCUGAUACUUGAAUUCCCACUUAUAAACUCCCGAAACUUUCUGGUUACGCAAUCAGGUGUUGGGGAUACAGGGGAAGCAUAAAAUCUCACCCAAACCAACAAUCCCUACAUCCAGCUGUAUCCAUCCUUCAACACAUAACCAAGAAACCUUCAGAAAUCGUGUACCUCAACCUUCGAAAAGCAUCUGUUAUACGAGUUAUGGCAAUACUCCCGAACUCCCGCCCCAGUACUGGGUGGCAUCAAGGUUAUCUCACCAACAACUGCAUAAAAGAGAUUUUCGAUGUCGGCGGAUCAGGUAUUCUAGAACUACAAUGAUAAAAUUGUGAUGACAACACCUCGGAGCACAACUCCCCGGGACAUUUGCCACAACCCCUAAAUGUCAGGAGGCACCAAGAAUAUUGUUCUCGUCACAGGACUAUCGGAACGAUUCCAGGACACGCGCGAAAUUUGAGGAGAGAAAAUUCAAAACUUCUAUGGAAUGCUUUUCGAAGUUUGAGGUACACUAUUUCUGAAGGUUUCUUGGUUAUGUGUUGAAGGAUGGAUAUAACUGGAUGUAGGGAUUCUUAGUUUGGGUGAGAUUUUAUGCUUCCCCUAUAUCCCCAACACCUGAUUGCAUAACCAGAAAGUUUCGGGAGUUUAUAAGUGGGAAUUCAAGUAUCACGUAGGCAUUCUUUUCAACGAUCCCUAAAAAAUCGUGAAAUUUGAGGAGAGAAAAGUCAAAACUUCUACGUUAGGAGGCCUCACUAGAGCGACGAAGGGACUGAGGAGUAAAAAGAAUCCUACUCUCCUAUAUAUAUAAUCCUAACACUCAAAACAUUUUGUUCUAGACUCAACAAUGUCAGCGAUUCAAUGAAGCAGGGGGCUCCUAAGUCGGGGAUGAUUCUGAUACCAACUUGUAACACCCACAAUGCGGCUAUAUCUCCCACGUGUCGGGGCACGACCUAGAGGCAUAGCCGCAUGGUAGGCUUGUCACAAGAGGGGUAAUCUUCACACAUCCCAUGCACUGAAUAAGAAAGGGAUAAAGAGUUGGCUUACAAGCGCCACUUCACACAAUACAUAAAUAAUCCAUACAUCAUCCAAAGUACAAACAAAGGUCUAACUACGGAACCAAAAUAAAAGAAGACAACCCAAAAUGCUAGAUCCCUGAUCGUCCCAACUGGGCUCUAGUACUGAUCAAUAGGAAACGAAACAACACAACGAACAAGAUCUUCAUCGAGCUCCCACUUGAGCUUGGUUGCGUCAUCUGCACUGGUAUCAUCGGCACCUGCAACUGUUUUGGAGGUAUCUGUGAGUCACGAGGACUUAGUAAUCUCACACCCACAAUAUCAAGACUAAUUAAGCUUAUGGGUAGGAGGAGGUAGCGAGGUGGAGCUGAAGCAAGCAAUAAGCAUAUAUGGUGGCUAACAUACGCAAAUAAGAGCAAGAAGAGAAGCAACGCAACCGACGUGAAGCUAGAAGUGAUCCUGAAACUACUUACGCACAAGCAUAACACAAGAACCGUGUUCACUUCCCGGACUCCACCGAAAAGAGACCAUCACGGCUACACACACGGUUGAUGCAUUUUAAUUAAGUCAAGUGUCAAGUUCUCUACAACCGGAUAUUAAAAAAUUCCCAUCUGCCACAUAACUGCGGGCAUGGCUUUCAAAAGUUUAAACCAUGGAGGGGUGUCCCAACUUAGCCCAUCACAAGCUCUCAUGGUCAACGAAGGAUAUUCCUUCUCCCGGGAAGACCCCAUCAGUCUCUGAUUCCCGGUUACAAGACAUUUCGACAAUGGUAAAACAAGACCAGCAAACCGCCCGGAUGUGCCGACAAAUCCCGAUAGGAGCUGCACAUAUCUCGUUCUCAGGGCACACCGGAUUGUCCAAACUUCCGGUAGGCCAACCCAGAGUUGCCCCUGGUGGCCACCGACUACCAACAGGUUGGACCAACACUAAGAGGAGCACUGGCCCACGGGUUUAAAAUAAAGAUGACCCUCGGGCUCGCGAAAACCCAAGGGAAGGUUAUAGGUUGUUAGGCAAAUGUAAAACCAAGGUUGGGCUUUGCUGGAGGUGUUUUAUUCAAAGCGAACUGUCAAGGGGUUCCCAUAACACCCAACCGCGUAAAGAACGCAAAAUCAAGGAACAUAAUACCGGUAUGACGGAAACUACGGCGGCAAGAGUGGAACAAAACACCAGGCAUAAGGCCGAGCCUUCCACCCUUUACCAAGUAUAUAGAUGCAUUAAAUAAAAUAAUAGAUAUUGUGAUAUCCCAACGUAUCCAUUCCAACAUGGAACAAACUUCAGCUUCACCUGGAACUAACAACGCUAUAAGAGGGGCUGAGCAAAAGCGGUAACAUAGCCAAACAAAAGGUUUGCUAGGAAAGGUGGAUUAGAGGCUUGACAUGCCAAUAUGGGAGGCAUGAUAUAGUAAGUGAUAGGUACUGCGACAUAACAAUAGAGCGAACAACUAGCAAGCAAAGAUAGAAGUGAUUUCGAGGGUAUGGUCGUCUUGCCUGAGAUCCCGCAAGGAAGAAGAACGAGCCCAAGAAGUAGACGACCCAACGUAGUCGAACGAAUCCUCACAACUCCGGAACGAAACUGAAGCUAACGAGAGAAGCAACCCGGAAAGAAGCAAGCAACAUGGUAAACACACAAGCAUAAACAUGGCAUGAUGCACAACCAAGUAUGAUGCAUGUCCGGUUUAAAGAGGCAUGGCAAAGUGCAACAAGCAAUACUACAAAUUAAGUGGAGCUCAAUAUGCAACAAGUUGCAUAUUGAAGAAACACCACAUUUAAUUAUUUAGUUCUCUCCCAUAUAGGUACUGAAUAAUAUUAAAUGUUGGUUAACAUGGCAAGAGGUGAAACAUGAGUAAAAUACACAGUUAGUCACUUUAAAUGAGGCUGGAAACAUCAAACAACAAUUCCGGUAAAACCUCAUGUGCAUUAGCAUUUUAAUGCAACAAGAAUUAUAAACAUUUUAAAUGUUGUUAUCAUGAUGCGGAUGGCAUAUGAAAGUUUAUGCAAUUUUAUGAAAAUGUUGAUAAGAACAUGAUAUGGAGCAUUUGUCGCCAUGGCGGAAGGAACAGGUUUCACGAAGAAACUUAUGCGACGCCUUGGAACUUGGCGCACCCAAAGGGAACUUGAUGGGUCUGAGUCCUUCGAGGGUCGUCCUGGUACUCGUUCAUGUUGUAGUCGUACACAUCAAUGAUAGUUGUACACUUGGUUGGUGAUAGUCGAACUUGGCGUAUCCAAGGUCUUCGGUGCUACGGUACUUGGCGGGUCAUCAUGUAGAUGUACUUUCGAGAGGAACUUGGCGCAUCCAAAAUCUUCGGGGAUCGUCCUUGGACUUGGCGGUGCUAGUCUCCUUGGUUCAAUAGUGAUAUGCAAGUGCCAAAACAACCGGCAACUUGGGCGGCUCCUUAAGGCCAUGGAGAUGACAGGCAGCAGGGGCUGCUGGUGGAGGCAGAGCCACGAUGAGGAGGUCCUGCUCCGUCAGUUGCAAGUGAUGGGCAAAAACCAGGCAGCAACAAGUCUUCGGCGCGAGGGAGAAAGGAGUCGGUGCGUGGGAAGGAGAAACAAGGGAAGUGGGUGAGCAGAGUACGAGGUCGCCGGAGAAGGAGCUCGCGGCCGGCGAGGCAAGGUGGCUCCGGCGAGGGCACCGGUGGCCGGGUUGCGGAAGACGGCGUGGAGGAGCAGACGAUGAAGGAGGCGGGAGGCGAGCCACGCGUGAGGGAGGAGGUCGAGGCCAACGCUGGUCGGUGCUGCGGCAGCGUCCUGUUGGUCGCCGGAGGAAGCGGCGGCGAGGUGCGGUGCUGGGACGCUCAAGACCGAGCGAGGAGGGCUGCGAGGAUGAAGCUGCAACUGCAACAGGGAGGCGCGGCCACGGGAUCGAGCGCGGGCGCUCUCCUGGAGCUUGAUGUGUGCGUGCCUGCGGCGCUACGGGAAAGAACGAGGAGAUGGGGAAUCGGGCGCAGGGGAUCUUGGCGGCGUGAGGAGGGCGACGAGGGAAGGGAUCGAGGGAGAGAGAGGUUCCAGCCGGUGCUAGGGUUAGAGGAGGGGAACUGGGCCUGUUGGUCUAGGAGGCUGUGGGAGGCCUUGGGUCGAGAGAAGCAAAUGGCCCGGGAGGUGGGCAUCUGCUGCUGACCUCCUCACAUAACAAGGAAAAACAAAGAGAGAAAAGGGAGAGGAAAGAAAGGGGCUGGUCUGGAAAGCUAAGUUGGGCUUAGAGGCAAAUGGGCCGGCCUGGUUCUCUCUUCUAUCUAAAAACAGAAAAAACAAAGAAGGAAAAAA